rnacentral:lncRNA from 1 species
UUUAUACUUUGUUUCUCUUUGCUGGCAUUGUUUUAUCUAGUCUAAUCUCUCACAGAAGCUAUUGUCAUUCAAGGGUUAUUUCUUCUUGUGGGAAUCUUCCCACUUUGCACUGCCCAAAGCUUUGUCUCUUGAAUUUGAAGCAACUGCCACCAUCAAGAUUCUAAGUCUCUUAAGUGGUACAUGGCCUCAGAGCAGCUGAGGUUUCAAUGCUCACAUAAAUCCAAUAGGGAGACAGACAUGACUACUUUGAAAGGAGGAGCAGAUCUGCACCAUAUCCAAAGCCUGUGAGUUUUUUGAAAUCCGCUAGUCGACUUUCCAUCUUAAACACUGUAUGCAAAUAAGGAUAAAGACAGCGACACUUCCCAAGAGAGGUCAGAAGUCAAGAGGAGAGAGAGAAAAAGGGUCAUCUUAAAAAUCAGUGGCAUAUUGGACUGAUUUCAUCUUUCUGUCUCAUCAGAUACUGUCACAUAUUCGUAGACACGGUCAGAGGUGUGACUUGUGACAACUAAUGGCUGAGUCUUCAUCACGUCCAUGUGUGUGUGAGUAUGUGUGUGUGCAGAUUGUUUUUUACAUAGACUGGAAAUAUUGACCUCUAUAUUGUACAUAAGAAAACUAAAUAUCAGAGAAAUAAAAUGCAAGAGAAGACAGGCAACACAAAGAGGUCCUCCGGGCCCAGGAAGAACCCGUAGGCAAUCUUGCUGUCAUUUCAAGUCUCCCUCCUUCCUCCUGCAAAGCAGAGAGACAAAGGCCAAUCCUCAGAACCACGGGAGGAGCAAGCAGGUCAGACACAAGCCCAGACUUCCCGCGAACACUGAAGAAGUCAACAACCAGCAACUGUGUCCGAGGUGACCUCCUUCAAGACUCCAGAGAGCUGGUUUCCCUGGCAGGCCCAGGCAGGUGCCCAGGAUGUCACCUUCCUCAGGCUUCCUGUGCCACUGCCCUCCAAGAGAAAAAAAAUCCUUUCAAAGAAAAAUUUCAGUCCAUAUAAAUAAAACAUACCAUGCUGGCAAAUUCCGUGAAAAGGGCGGUCCCUGUUUUCCCUAAGUCAAAAUAUUUUCCUUUCCAAUAUAUUUGUUUCUUCUAAUAGGAGAAUGCUGUCUUCUCUCUCUACCACACCUUGCGGUUGAGGUUUAGACUCUCCAAGUAGCUUAGGCAUAAAGAGUCAAGCUGCUAGGUUCAGCUCCCAUUGAGUUUUUGCUUGGCUUCUAAAAGGAGACCCUGCUCCUGGAGGGAGGAUGACAGUGGCCUUGCACAUCCACCACCAUCUCAGAUUCUAUUAUUUGCACCUGC